rnacentral:misc_RNA from 1 species
GAAAUGCGAUAAUUAAUGUGAAUUGCAGAAUUCAGUGAAUCAUCGAAUCUUUGAACGCACAUUGCGCCCAUUGGUAUUCCGAUGGGCAUGCCUGUUCGAGCGUCAUUAUCCUCCCUCAAACCUCGGGUUUGGUGUUGGGCCGCGUGGGUUGCCCCUCAAGGUGACCAACUAGCCUCAAAGACAAUGGCGGCGUCCGUGGGACCCUCGGUGCAACGAGCUUCUAAGGAGCACGCGUCGAGUUUCAAGGACCUUCCGGGCCGGUCUUCAUUUUCAAAUCAUCACAAAGGUUGACCUCGGAUCAGGUAGGAAUACCCGCUGAACUUAA